CUUGAAGGACAUGAUCCGCUGUGGAUUUUUACAUCCACCAUUUUCUAUACAAAUGAAGAUGCUCUUGGCUCGACAUAGUUUGUUCUGUUCCAUUAGGAAUCUAAUUUUUCUUAGGUUGAUAGUACAUGAUGGAGCUCGAGCGGAAAGGAUUGAUUCAUUUAUCAAGGGGAAGAAUCUAGGGUUAGUGCCAAUCAAUCAAUAAGUUAGACCAGCUUUGUAAGUAUAUCCUUAAAAUAUAAAAUAAUCGGAAUUGAUAAAACUAUUUCGAUCAAAAAAAAGUGUAUCACAGAGGAAUCAAUUCUUCGUAUUCUAUUUCUAUGGGUAUUCUAUUUCUAUAGAAAGAAAUAAAAAAAACAAAAGGUAUGUUGCUGCCCUUUUGAAAGGAGUAAGGAUCACCGAAGUAAUGUCUAAACCCAAUGAUUUUACAAAGCAAAGAUAAAGGAUUCCGAAACAAGGAAACACUAUUUUCAAUUGUCUCAAAAAUUGGAUCAGAAUUAGGAAUAAAAAUAGAUUCGAGAUGAGACAAACAAAAGAGGUUAGAGACGGCUCAAGAAAUGUCUAAGGAUUUCCCUUCGAAUUCUGUCAGAAUUACCCAACUUGAGUUAUGAGUACGAAUGAAAUUUAUUUUUUUUUUUUUUUUUAGGAAGAACAAAAUAAUAAUAAUGAAUUAGACUAUGAUUUGAGUCAUUAUUUUGUGUUUACUAUUUGAUAUUAUAUACAGAAAGAUAUACCGAAAUAAAAAUAAUUUUUUCUCGAGCUCGAGCCGUAUGAGGAGAAAAACCUCCUAUACGUUUCUGGGGGGGGAUUGUUUAUGUACAUCUAUCCCAAUGAGCCAUCUAUCGAAUCGUUGCAAUUGAUGUUCGAUCCCGAAGAGAAGGAAGAGAUUUUCGAAAAGUGGGUUUUUAUGAUCCGAUAAAGAAUCAAACUUAUUUAAACGUUCCCGCUAUUCUAUAUUUCCUUGAAAAGGGCGCUCAACCUACAGGAACUGUUUAUGAUAUUUUAAGUAAGGCAGAAUUUUUUAAAGAAAAAACCUCGAGUUAAUUAAAAGAAAAAACAACAAAAUUAAUAAAAAAGGGGGGAGAUGAUUAAUAUAAAAUCUAUCUUUGUAUAAUUUUUUACUUACAAUUUUUUACCUAAAAUUUUCCCUUUUCUUGCUCUAUUCAUACUUAAAUUUACUUUUUUCUUGUUAUAGGAAUCCACCAACAAACAAGGGAUUAAUCUUGCUUAUUGUACCUCUAUUGAUUGAGUAAACCCGAGAUUUUUUCUUUAUCUUUUCCUUAUUUUUUUCCAUCAAAAUUUCUUAUUUAUGUUGUGCCAACCCAAUACAAAUCCUUAUUUUAUUUACUUUAUUUGUUAUUUGUUUUCUCAACAUUGCAUUCAUAUUGACAAUGGUGUAUCGAACAAAUAUAAUUGAUCAUAGAUAAAUUAAUUGAUCAUAGAUAAAUAAAUCUCUUUAUCCAGACCCCAUAUUGGGUUUUAACUUCACUUUUACUCAAAUAAUGGGUUUUGCAUUGUUGGGUUUACUGUCAUAUAAGACGUAUUUUGGAAUUUAACUUAACAAAAAUAAAAAAUUGAUAAAAAACUGGUAGGUCUGUCACAAUUUUAGCAUCUCUUUUAGGAAUCUGGUGUUUUUAAAUAUGAUCUGUACAUUUUCUAUUUAUUUUGUAUAAUCGAUCAUAAAACAUAAAAUAUUUUUUUAUUUAUUAUUAGUUCAAUGUUUUGAUGGGGUCGUGCAGUGCAAUUUAAUGGAUUUUUCAUUUUUAUCGUAUCUACAUAUCCUAUUUAUUUUAUUUUAUUCGGGUUGCUAACUCAACGGUAGAGUACUCGGCUUUUAAGUGCGACUAUGAUCUUUUACACAUUUUGAUGAAGCAACAAAUUCGUCCAGACUAUUGGUAGAGUCUAUAAGACCACGACUGAUCCUCAAGGGUAAUGAAUGGAAAAAGUAGCAUGUCGUAAUAAAAAAAAUUUCUUAUUUUAUUAAAUAUUUUAUUAAAAAAUUACAAAUUCAAAUGAAAGUGGAACUUUUAGUUUAUCCUUACUGGAUCGCUACAAAAAUAAAAAAUUUUUGGAAGGGAAGGGGACAAAACAAAUUCACAUUUACAGUUGGGUCUAGUGAAUAAAUGGAUAGAGCCUAUGGUUCCAAUUUUGGUAAAACAAAAAGCAACGAGCUUAUGUUCUUAAUUUGAAUUGAACGAUUACCCGAUCUAAUUAGACGUUAAAAAUAGAUUAGUGCCUUAUACGGGAAAGGGUGAGUUCUCCUGUGGGUGGACCAUUGAUUCUUUUUCCUUUUUUUUUAAUAAAUCCUAACUAUUCUUUAUUAUGGAUUAGAAACGGAUGUGUAGAAGAAACAGUAUACUGAUAAAGAGAAUAAAUUCCAAAGUCAAAAGAGCGAUCGGGUUGCAAAAAUAAAGGGUUUGUUAUCCUCUUGUAAUUAUAACGAAGAUAAACAACGAAGAUAAACCAAUUCGAUAGAAAAAGAGAAUAAAAAGAUCUAUUGAUUGGACUCCCUGUUUCCUUUUCGGGGUAUAUAUUUUUAUUACUAUUGUAUUCUAUAUACAUAAUAGAAUACAAAAUACCCUGUUUUGACCAUAUUGCACUAUGUAUCAUUUGAUAACCCAAUAAAUGCCUCCUACCCCUGCUUCAAGUGGAAAUGUAAAUGGAAGAAUUACAAGGAUAUUUAGAAAAAGAUAGAUCUCGGCAACAAUACUUUCUAUAUCCACUUCUUUUUCAGGAGUAUAUUUACGUAUUUGCUUAUGAUCAGGGUUUAAAUAGUUCAAUUUUUUAUGAACCCGUGAAUUUUGGGGGUUAUGGCAAUAAAUUUAGUUCAGUACUUGUGAAACGUUUAAUUAUUCGAAUGUAUCAACAAAAUUAUUUGAUUUAUUCGGUUAAUGAUUCUUACCAAAAUCGAUUCGUUGGGCACAACAAUUAUUUUUAUUCCCAUUUUUUUUCUCAGAUGAUAUCAGAAGGUUUUGCAGUCAUUGUGGAAAUUCCAUUCUCGCUGCAAUUAGUAUCUUCCCUUGAAGAAAAAAAAAUACCAAAAUCUCAUAAUUUACAAUCUAUUCAUUCAAUAUUUCCUUUUUUAGAGGAUAAAUUAUCGCAUUUAAAUUAUCUGUCAGAUAUACUAAUACCUCAUCCCAUCCAUAUGGAAAUCCUGGUCCAAAUCCUUCAAUCCUGUAUCCAGGAUGUUCCCUCUUUGCAUUUAUUGCGGUUCUUUCUCUACGAAUAUUAUAAUUGGAAUAGUCUCAUUACUCCGAAGAAAUCUAUUUAUGUUUUUUCAAAAGAAAAUAAAAGACUAUUUUGGUUCUUAUAUAAUUCUUAUGUAUCUGAAUGUGAAUUUGUAUUAGUUUUUCUUCGUAAACAAUCUUCUUAUUUACGAUUAACAUCUUUUGGAGCCUUUCUUG